rfam:Brachypodium distachyon strain Bd21 chromosome 3, whole genome shotgun sequence.
GAUAUACUCCCUCUGUCCAACCAAGAAUGUCUCAACUUUGACUAAAUUUGAAUACAUCUAUACACUAAGUCAUGUCUAGAUACAUUCAAAUUUUGACAAACUUGAGACAUCUUUUGUUGGAUGAAUGGAGUAAUAA